UACGUAGGGUCCAAGCGUUGUCCGGAUUUAUUGGGCGUAAAGAGCUCGUAGGUGGUUCGGUAAGUCGGAUGUGAAAACUCGGGGCUCAACCCCGAGACGCCAUCCGAUACUGCUGUGACUUGAGUCUGGUAGGGGAGAUCGGAAUUCCUGGUGUAGCGGUGAAAUGCGCAGAUAUCAGGAGGAACACCGGUGGCGAAGGCGGAUCUCUGGGCCAUUACUGACGCUGAGGAGCGAAAGCGUGGGGAGCGAACAGG
rnacentral:rRNA from 1 species